rnacentral:lncRNA from 1 species
CUAAAUAUGAUUAGAAGCUGAACAGCGAGUACACUUCUCCUGAAACAAGCAAGAAAUUCGGCUUCCAGGUAACACGACACUACUUUCAUUAAGGCUUAUUUUCCCCCAUUCCUUCAACCCUAGUUUCCUCAGGGAAGAAGCAAAGAACUAUCAUUAAUAAUUUACAGACUUUGUUCCAAAGGCUGUAAAGGGUAACAUCUCUGGUGUUAAUCCUCUUCACAGCAGCUAUAUUUUCAUCUUAUGGAAAAAUCCAAGGCUAAUGGUAAAAUAACUUCCCCACGGUCACACUGUGCUACUCUAAAGGGACAGCACAUCCCGCAAAGGACCUCUCCUAAAGAGCAGAGAACUUUUCAUUACUGGUGUUGUUCAAGAAAAGCCUUGAUGAUGUAGAAGAGAUUCUUUGAAGGUCACUGCUGUUUCAUUGCCAAGAUGAACUAGGAGGAUGAAGGUAAGACUGGAAACAAAAGGCUUAUUUAGGAAUCAUUUCCAGUACUACAAAGGGAAAGAAAGUAGCACUGAAAGGUUUCCCUUUCACUCCUACCAUUACUAAAUGUGUCCAAUAAUAAUUGGAAAUAUACAGUAUGUGACCUAUUUAAAUUAGCUUCUUUUACUUUGCAAUGCACAUUUAAGGUUCAUCCAUGCCAUUGCCUGGAUUGAUCACUUAUUUCCUUUUAUUGCUGAAUAUUCUAUUGUAUAGAUAUACCACAGUUUGCUUACCCAGUAACUAAAUGAAGAACAUCAUGGUUGCUCCCAGUUUUUGGCAAUUAUGUUUUGGCAAUAAAGAUGUGCAUGCAGGUAACUGUGUAGACAUAAGUCAUCAAAUCAGUUGGGUAAAGAUUUAGAUGUGUGAUGGCUGGAUUAUGGUAAGACUUUGUUUAGCUUUGUAAGAAACUGCCAAACUGUUUUCCAAACUGGCUGUACCAUUUUGCAUUCCCAUCAGUAACGUGUGAGAGCUCCUGUUGUUCUACAUCCUUCUCAGCAUUAGAAUAUAGCUUUGUCAGGUUUUUGGCUUUGGAUUU